UACGGAGGGUCCAAGCGUUGUCCGGAAUCACUGGGUGUAAAGGGUGUGUAGGUGGACUUAUAAGUCAGAGGUGAAAGCCCACGGCUCAACCGUGGAAUUGCCUUUGAUACUGUAAGUCUUGAGUCCUGGAGGGGCUGUUGGAAUUCGUGGUGUAGCGGUGAAAUGCGUAGAUAUCACGAGGAACACCAGAGGCGUAAGCGAACAGCUGGACAGGUACUGACACUGAGGCACGAAAGCGUGGGGAGCAAACAGG
rnacentral:misc_RNA from 1 species